GAUGAACGCUGGCGGCGUGCCUAAUACAUGCAAGUCGAGCGAACAGACGAGGAGCUUACUCCUCUGACGUUAGCGGCGGACGGGUGAGUGACACGUGGAUAACCUACCUAUAAGACUGGGAUAACUUCGGGAAACCGGAGCUAAUACCGGAUAACAUGUUGAACCGCAUGGUUCAACAGUGAAAGACGGUCUUGCUGUCACUUAUAGAUGGAUCCGCGUCGCAUUAGCUAGUUGGUAAGGUAACGGCUUACCAAGGCAACGAUGCGUAGCCGACCUGAGAGGGUGAUCGGCCACACUGGAACUGAGACACGGUCCAGACUCCUACGGGAGGCAGCAGUAGGGAAUCUUCCGCAGUGGGCGAAAGCCUGACGGAGCAACGCCGCGUGAGUGAAGAAGGUCUUCGGAUCGUAAAACUCUGUUAUUAGGGAAGAACAAAUGUGUAAGUAACUAUGCACGUCUUGACGGUACCUAAGCAGAAAGCCACGGCUAACUACGU
rnacentral:rRNA from 1 species